UACGGGGGGGCAAGCGUUGUUCGGAAUUACUGGGCGUAAAGGGCUCGUAGGUGGCCAACUAAGUCAGACGUGAAAUCCCUCAGCUUAACUGGGGAACUGCGUCUGAUACUGGAUGGCUUGAUUUGGGAGAGGGAUGCGGAAUUCCAGGUGUAGCGGUGAAAUGCGUAGAUAUCUGGAGGAACACCGGUGGCGAAGGCGGCAUCUGGACCAAUAU
rnacentral:rRNA from 1 species